UUUUUUUUUUUUUUUUUUNUUUUUGGUCUUUUAGGGCUACACUGGUGGCAUAUGGAGGUUCCCAGGUUAGGGGUCUCAUCGGAACUGGUGUAGCCACCAGCCUACACCACAGCCAUAGCAACGCGGGAUCUAAGCUGCAUCUGCGACCGAUACCAUAUCUCGUAGCAACGCCGGAUCCUUAACCCACUGAGCGAGGCCAGGAAUCGAACCUGCGUCCUCAUGGAUACUAGUCGGGUUCAUUAACCACUGAGCCACAACGGGAAAUCCUGUACUCUAAUAUUUUUAAAGUUGAAAGUUACUUUCUGUCCCAGCUAAUCCUUAACAAGUGUUCCCAAUACUAAGUCUAGCCUAUAAGCAAAGAUGAGUAUUCAGGAGAAGGAACAGGAGCUAUUAGCAGACCUUUUCUCUGGUGUGGAGAAGGAGAUGCAGGCCUCUGAACCCAUUCCCUGCACUGAGUGCCCACCUGCCCUGCAUCCAUCCAUUCACUGGACCGCAAUUUCCUGAGCACCUGCUAGGUGUCGGCCACUGUUCUAGGCACUGGGACAACAGAAACAAUGAACGAGCAAGAUUUUGCUCUCCUAACACUCACAUCCCAGCAGGGAUGAGAUAUAAACAACAGACAGAGCUCAAUAAGAUAAUAAUAUUGUGAUACAUGUCUUGAAGACAACUAGAAUGUGACAGCGUGGCAGGGCUGGGGGGGGGAGCUCUCUGAAGAAGUGAUCAAAGAAAGGCCUCUCUGAGAAGUGUCACCUGAGUGCCUAGAAGGAGUCAGCUGCUUGAAGACCUGGGGGAAGGGAGUUUCAGGCAGAGGGAACAGCAAUGGCAAGGGCCUCGAGGCUGCACUGCACCUAGUGUCCCAAGAUCAAGCGGGAGAGUGGCGAGCUGAGAGCCAGGGAAGGAGGGUGACAGGAGGAGUCUGGAAGGGCGGGUGAGGGCCCACCACACAGGGUCCUGGCGCAGGGUAAGGGGUUGGGAGUUCAUUCCCCAAAGAAAGGGAGGUAUUCAGAAAGGUUACAAAUGGGGCCAUAAUCCAAUCUGAUUUAUUUUUAGAAGGAUCACUGGUUGGGGGGAUGACAAGAGUGUGAGUGGGGAGAUCCCUGAGGAGGUGGCUCAGCUGCCCAGGUAGGACAAGAGGUGGCUGGACCAGGGUGGGGGCGGAGUAUUUGGAGAAGAGGGCAGAGCUGGGCUGCAUCUUUAGGGCAAGCAGACUUGCCUUUAAGUUGGAUAUGGUACAUGACUGGCCAGGCUUUUUGGGGAGUUGGGGGGGUCUCAAUUGUAUUUGAAUCCCCCUGGUACCUCUGAUGCUCCUAACAGCUGACCUGGGCAGCCCAAGUGCUCCAAUCUGGCCUGAUGGCAUUAACAGCGGGCAUGCACUGCUGCCUUGACAGCUCCCUUCCUGGUCACUGAGGUUGACCAUUUUGCCCACAGGAAGCUUUUCUUGCAAUCUCUCCUUUCUGGAGGCCCCUUAGGCCAAGGGCUUCGGAGCAAGUUUGUGCUUCACAAUUCUCAGAAGCGGAGGACAAGGGAGGAGCGCAGGGGAAAAGGGAAAAAUCCCCGAAGCAAAAAUGUUUAAAAUUCAGGCAAAGUCACCAGGGGAGCCGAGUAAAGCAGCCCCCACCCCGCUCCCCACUCCCUGUAGCCUUGCCCUCCCCAGGCUCUGCAGCCAGCUCAGCUCCUUUAACGAGGCUUUCCUGGUCAGGGGAGCUUGACUGCUGCCAGGGACCCGGAAAUGCAAGAGGAGAGCUCCCUGCAGAGCCCACCCUGGCGCCCAGCUGCAGGCUGCUUGUCCAGGUGGCAGCACUGCUGCUGCCCCAGGUGGUGGCUUCUUCUCAGAAACCUCAUAAAUGUGGCAGAUGCCCACCUAGGGUGACGACAUGCGGGAGGAGGAGGAAGGGCAAGGAGAGAAAGGGCUUGGCUGCUUGAUGGCUGGCACCUGUGUGCCUUCCUGCCAGGCUCCCUGCUCCACAGAAGGGAGUCCUGACCUUGACCAUGCCAGGCAGUCCUACCUCCACACCCUUAUACACACCAGUCUCCCUGCCCAGAAACCUUCUCGGUCCAUCCAAACCCAGCCCUCCUCCUAGAUGCACCUGCAGUUCAUCUUCUUGGGAAAACUCAAGGUAGGAGUAAGGGAAUCUAGCAUUUAUCAGACACCUCCUCCUAUCAGCACCAUUUUAUUUCUUUUUUUAAAAAUAUCUGUGUCAAUUACACUUCAAUUUUUUUUGGUGUUUUUGCCUUUUCUAGAGCCGCUUCCCGCGGCAUAUGGAGAAAUAGCAACAACAACAACAAAAAAGACAAAAGACCAAAAAAAAAAAAAAAAAAAAAAAAAAAAAAGCUCUUCAAAACAGGUUAAGUCCCUCAGAGCUAAUGAGCAAACCCGAACAGCCUUCUUAACUCUGUCUCCCAAGCAGCGUGGGGGAGGCUACAGGGCCUCUCCCAGCUCUGAUCAAAUAUUGACCCUGUACAUUCACUGGCCGGAGUUCAGACUAAAGGGCCAGCAGCACUAUGGAGCCAAUGUUUGCAAAGCAAUUACUGGACCCCAGGGCCUUGUAGGUCAGAUUGUGAAACAACCUUCGAUGGAGCCGGAGCUUCAGAGAGCCUUCCGGUCCUUCCUCGGUGGGGCCGGGCCUUGCGAGAGAUACUUAACAGUGAAGGAGCUGUGCAAGGAAAUUUACAGAGGCUGGAAGUGUGGUCCAGCGCCAAAAACAGAGGGCAAGUUAAGAGCAUCAGUGGCCCUUUUCCCUCCUCCUUCUCCCCUGCACUGCACCUCCAAGUAGUCCAAGCUCUUUCUAACCAAACAGGCCUCAACAUCAAGCCUUGUCCCCACCAACUCCCUCUGGGACAGGCCCCUUUCCUGGUCAGAUAGGGCUGAGUGGUGGAUUAUUUUUAGAAGAAACCAAUUUCCAUUUGGAGACCAAGAGCCUCUCCUCUCCCUGUUCCCAACUUGACAUCUGAAACGUCCUUAAAAGCCCUCUCUGGUAACUGACCUGGUUUCCAGAAGAGGUGUUUGGAAUAGCUGUUGAAUUUGAACUGCUCUACGGAUGGGCCAAGUCGUGGUGGAACACAGGGAUCCUAGAAGAUGUUAGAAGACAAGUGGAGAGGGACUGGGAGGCGGCAGAGCACGCUGGGGUGGGCUCAAAGCCAGAUUGAGUCUAUGAUGUGUCUCAGAAGGUCCAAGGAAGCAGAGUCCAAUAGAUGAUGAUAGAAAUGUCCCACAUCUAGAGAACAAGCCAGGGAUUACCAGUGGGGGGAGGGGGGAGGCACUAUAAGGGUAGGAAAGUGGGAGACACAAACUCCUGUAAGACAGGCUCAAGGAUGCAUUAUAGAACAAUGGGGAAUAUAGCCAAUGUUUUGUAAUAACUGUAAAUGGAAAGUGACCUUUAAAAAUCAUAUGAAAAUUUUCAUAAAAAUUAAAAACAAAAGAAAUCUUCCAUUAUCUGCUUGAUACAUAGCAAUUAGCCACUGUGGCUACUGGGCACUUACAAUGUAGCAUGACCAAGAAAGUAAAUUUCACUUCGUUUCCUUUUUUUUUUUUUUAUAGCCACACCUAAGGCACAUGGAAGCUUCCAGGCUAGGGGUUGAAUCAGAACUGCAGCUCUGGCAGCUAUACCAGGCCUAUACCAGCUAUAUCAGGCCUAUACCACAGCCACAGCAACACCAGAUCUGAGCCACAUCUGUAACCUAAACCACAGCUCAUGGCAAGGCUGGAUCCUUAACCCACUGAGCAAGGCCAGGGAUUGAACCUGUAUCCUCAUGGAUACUAUGUCAGGUUCUUAACUUGCUGAGUCAUAAGAGGAAUGUAUACAUAAUGUUAAGCCAAAACCUGUCUUCCCUCACUAAGCUGUUACUCCCAUAAAAGUGGAAACCAGAUCUGCUUUUGCCCCCUAUUAAAUCUCCACCCAGAGCCUGGCAUCCUGCCAGGGACACAGAAGGCAGGUGCUUAAGACUGGAUGACUGAGGAAGGAUGGAUGGAU
rnacentral:lncRNA from 1 species